CAUGGAGCCGGCAGCCAUGUUUCUACAGUAGCCCAUAAUGGACAAACCGAACAUUGGCUCUACAGAGGGCCUUUCGUGUUUUCACUUAACAACCCCUGGCGU